rnacentral:rRNA from 1 species
CUUGACUUCAGAUCAGGCAAGAUUACCCGCUGAUU